UAAGCCUUCUUGUCUUUUUUUUUUCUUUUUAUUAUUUUAAAACCUUAAGGUAUCUAUCGUUUCUCUAUCUGUGUCUCAGGCCGCGUCCCAUGUGAACCAUGUCCCAAGCAUCCCACUUGAACCUGCGCUCCCGUAUGAAGCUACAAAGAUCGUGCCUUGGACUGGACCACUCGCUGACCCACUUGAAGCCCGCCAAAACCCCCAUUCAAAGCUUCAACCACACCCC
rnacentral:lncRNA from 1 species